AGAGGGAUCAAUUGUUUAGAGUACCUACUUAAAAUAUUUCCUUUUGACUGAUUGUUGCAUGAGUUAGAAUUGAUUGGUUUUCACUUGAAGGGGAAUCAUGGAUUUCGAUACUGGAAUACUUUUAUAACCAACCAUUGAUUUGACCGCCAUCCCCGGCAGCCGUGAUUCUUUGGCUAAACUGACCUCAACCAUUUCCCAUGCACUGUCAAUGGGGUUUCUAAACCAACCCGGCUGUAAUAAUUCUGGAAACUGGUUAAUUUUGUGGCUAGUCGGAUUUCCCCAUGGGGAACUGUAAACCGAAAGGUAUAUUUCUUCGCCCAACACCGGUCACUGAGUUAGCAAGCUGAAGUUGGCUAGUGAGUCACAGAAAUGUACGUUCAGCCUAUUCAUUAUUUCAGUCCGAUUGGCCUUAAAGUAAAUUAAUCAGCAUGGCUUAACAUAGCACUGUUGGCGGUAUAAACACAAUUUCGCUAAACGUGUAUGUAACAACAUUUAUUUGAUUAAUUUCGUUUUUGACCUCGACAUUCUUGCUGGAUAGACACUUUGAUAGCUAACAUGCGCUGCUAACUAGCUAAUGCUAAUGGCGCUAGCUAAACUCCUAUGUUAGGCUGGACACAUUGCAUUUUAACAACGCUUUUCUAAAAAGUGGUUCAUUGCAUCCGCGGUGGAGCCCAGUUUCAUAAUAUAUCCCAGCUGCCUGUCGUAGUUGAAGUAAUCACGAAAAAGCAGGCCUUAAUUUAGGGCAUUUUAUCACCCUGCCAGCUCCUAUGAAUUCUAUUGAGCACUGUGGUACCAACUCGCCUUCCGAACGUUCGUGUAAUGUGUCCAGCCUAACAUAGGAGUUCAGCUAGCGCCGUUAGCAUUAGCUAGUUAGCAGCGCUAGCUAUCAGUGUCUCCAGCAAGAAAGUACAACAAAUGGGACAAUGGUAGUUUCGCUAUAGUUGGCAAUGGAGACCUGCUCACGUUAAGUUAAAAUGUAAACAACAAAUUACUCAUGUUACUCUGAGGUCGUCCCAUUGUUUACUAUAGGGAAAUGUAGGUAUGGCUGUCUUAUUUUGCCAAAUAUCUCGCGAUGUGCAUAUUUAGAUUUGUAUUUUUUGUCAUUUCGGACACCAUGUUAAUCAAUAUCUUUCUAAUUAUGUAAGGCUGGGUAUUGUAUCUCGUCAUCAAACGCUAGACCUGAAAUAGUCAGUUGCCAUUUUUCCCCUACUUCCUCGCUAUGCAGACAAGCACAAUUGGCUCCACUGAGGUGCAGAUGUUUCCUUUCUACACUAGUUAUUUCAGUUUCGUCCUAAGAACAGAUUGUAGUGUUAAAAUAAAAAUUGAUACUUUUUUGGUGCCAUUUAGGCUAAAUCAGCUAAAUUAGCUAAAUCUAAGCUUCACUCCAGUCAAAACAGUCUGCGAACGUUCGAUUCCAUUAAUUUGAUAUGGGCUCGCGCUAGUUUUAGCUUAGCCAACGUUCUAAAGCCGUUUUCAGCCUUGGGUGAAUUUUGACUCGUUCUUUUGUCCAGCCGACCUAUGCGGAUGUUUAUCUAGUUCCCAAGAGCAGCAGACCGGUAAGUCAACUUUUCUUUCGAACUUUAAUCAUCUGUAAAGUUGUUUUACAUGCAAUCAUGCUAGCUAGCUAUAUUUUGACACGUCUGCACCUGCUUCACCGGCAAUGACGGGUGAUGCAGGUAAUUAUCACAUGCAUACUCUCCUUCACUUGGGGCUCUAUUCAAUCACAUCCGCAUAGCGGUUGUUUUGGUGGUGUCUGAGGUGGAACUGUAUUAAAGCUGUCAAAUUAACAAGCGGCUCCUGGCCUUAUACCUAAACCGCACAUUGCCGUUGGCGGCAGGGAGUCGCAUUAACAGAAAUCUCAUGCAUCCCUGUUUACAAGUUAGAACAGUGGAAUUUGAGAUGUAAUCUACACCUCGAUUAGGCUGAUAUAAAUCCUCAUUUAGUUUACUUUUGAAUUUGAGCGUCAUAUUUAUAUAUAACCUACACUUUUUCGUUUACGGUGUAGAUUCGUGACAAUGAUCAAGAGCCGCUGCUUGCCGAUUUGACAGAUCCAACAUCAGACACCGAUAAAACAUAAGCAAUGUUGGUGUCAGCUAUCGCUGGUUAACGCUUGAUCUUAUUGACUCUAGGCCUUAUACUCAUUCACUCUGUUUACUUGUAUGAUUAUUGUCAGUUAAGAAAAUUAUGCCUCUUUUAGAUCUGCCACCCCCAGUAGUUCAGCUGUAGUCACAGCAGUCCUCAGCUGUGGUUUUUAAUUUACCAGCUGCACCAAUUCUUAGUUCACUGGCCUUGAAGGUAGAAACUUUUGAGGGUUCCCAACUGGAUACAGAUCUGCAAUGCACUCCACCACUGCCUGACAGCCUCACCCAGAAGUGCAUACACUGGGCCUAUCAAGACUGACAAAGCAGAGAUGGGUGGGUGACAAGGAAACUUAAAACGCAACAUGCACACACACACUCCCUCUCUCUCUGUCACACACACAUAAUCCCCAAUGUAAAUACAUUGUAGUUUAUUUUAUGUAUGCUCCAUUUUAUUUGAGGAAAAUGUCUGCAAUAAAGUUUGUUCACAGUUAA